rnacentral:sRNA from 1 species
AGGUACAUACCUAGGAGUAUUAAUUGGCAUUUAUGGAAAACAUCUCUUCAAUUCAACAAAAGUAUGUGCAUAUACAGAGGGAGUGCAGCUGAUAUUGUAGAAAACAGAGAGAAUAGUCAACUCUACUUUUGAAACCAUAUUACGCUGAGAUUCUAAAGCUGAAAGUGGAUAAAAACAAAAUGGUAGCCACAUCCGGUGUAAAAAAAGCUAUAUUUGAUCGACUGUGUAAACAACUAGAGAAGAUUGGACAGCAGGUCGACAGAGAACCUGGAGAUGUAGCUACUUCACCACGGAAGAGAAAGAAGAUAGUGGUUGAAGCCCCAGCAAAGGAAAUGGAGAAGGUAGAGGAGAUGCCACAUAAACCACAGAAAUAUGAAGAUCUGACACAGGAUUAUGAAGAAUGGAAAAGAAAAAUUUUGGAAAAUGCUGCCAGUGCUCAAAAGGCUACAGCAGAGUGAUUUCAGCUUCCAGACUGGUAUACAUUCCAAACUGAUAGUACAUUGCCAUCUCCAGGAAGACUUGACGGCUUUGGGAUUUUGUUUAAACUUUUAUAAUAAGGAUCCUAAGACUGUUGUCUUUAAAUAGCAAAGCAGCCUACCUGGAGGCUAAGUCUGGGCAGUGGGCUGGCCCCUAGUGUGAGCAUUAGACCAGCCACAGUGCCUGAUUGGUAUAGCCUUAUGUGCUCUCCUACAAAAUGGAAUUGGAGGCCGGGCGCAGUGGCUCACGCCUGUAAUCCCAGCACUUUGGGAGGCCGAGGUGGGUGGAUCACCU